rnacentral:rRNA from 1 species
UACGUAGGGCGCAAGCGUUGUUCGGAAUUACUGGGCGUAAAGGGUGCGUAGGCGGUUCGCUAAGUCGGAUGUGAAAACUCUGGGCUCAACCCAGAGCCUGCAUCCAAAACUGGCGGGCUAGAGUUCUGGAGGGGGUAGCGGAAUUCCUGGUGUAGCGGUGAAAUGCGCAGAUAUCAGGAGGAACACCGGUGGCGAAGGCGGGUCUCUGGGCCGAUACUGACGCUGAGGAGCGAAAGCGUGGGGAGCGAACAGG